rnacentral:rRNA from 1 species
AUUGAACGCUGGCGGCAGGCCUUACACAUGCAAGUCGAACGGUAACAGGCAACCGGUUGCUGUUUCGCUGACGAGGGGCGGGCGGGUGAGUGAUAUCUGGGCAACCGCCUGGUGGAGGGGGGUAAAAACUGGAAACGGUAGCUAAAACCCCAUAACGUCGCAAGAGCAAAGAGGGGGGCCUUCCGGCCUCUUGGCAGCCGAUGGGCCCAGAUGGGAUUAGCUAGUAGGUGGGGUAACGGCUCACCUAGGCGACGAUCCCUAGCUGGUCUGAGAGGAUGACCAGCCACACUGGAACUGAGACACGGUCCAGACUCCUACGGGAGGCAGCAGUGGGGAAUAUUGCACAAUGGGCGCAAGCCUGAUGCAGCCAUGCCGCGUGUAUGAAGAAGGCCUUCGGGUUGUAAAGUACUUUUAGCCGGGAGGAAGGGAGUAAAGUUAAUACCGUAGCUUAUUGACGUUACCCGCAGAAGAAGCACCGGCUAACUCCGUG